rnacentral:rRNA from 1 species
GACGAACGCUGGCGGCGUGCUUAACACAUGCAAGUCGAACGCUGAAGCUUGGUGCUUGCACUGGGUGGAUGAGUGGCGAACGGGUGAGUAAUACGUGAGUAACCUGCCCUUGACUCUGGGAUAAGCCUGGGAAACUGGGUCUAAUACUGGAUAUGACAUGCCACUGCAUGGUGGUGUGUGGAAAGGGUUUUACUGGUUUUGGAUGGGCUCACGGCCUAUCAGCUUGUUGGUGGGGUAAUGGCCUACCAAGGCGACGACGGGUAGCCGGCCUGAGAGGGUGACCGGCCACACUCGGACUGAGACACGGCCCAGACUCCUACGGGAGGCAGCAGUGGGGAAUAUUGCACAAUGGGCGGAAGCCUGAUGCAGCGACGCCGCGUGAGGGAUGACGGCCUUCGGGUUGUAAACCUCUUUCAGCACGGAAGAAGCGAGAGUGACGGUACGUGCAGAAGAAGCGCCGGCUAACUACGUG